GGACCAUGUGGAAGCAAGUGGCAGUACGUGUGGUGCCUACAGGCUUUUUGUUGGAUUUCACUAGUUAGCUAACUAGCUUGUGCCAAGGUGUGUGAGUUUUCUGGCAGCUGGAGGGUCGUGAAAGCAAGGAGGUUAUGGGAUUAUGUGACAAUGGACGGGCUUACAUGUUACAUGCUUACGGAAGGCUAGGAAAAUAACAUCAUAUUAAAGUCAUUAUGACUUGUUUCCUCACUAUUAAUUCCUUGGAGCUCCCCUACUGCAUUAUGACUGUUAUUUCAACCACAAUUUACCUCAUGAGGCUGAAUGGAUAAAUCAGUACAAAGGAAGAGUGUUCAGUUUAAACGACAAGCCUGUGGUGCAUAAAAUUUGGCUGCCGAAUGAGGAAUGCCCCAGAUUGGCAAUGUCUAGAGCCUUUGGGGACUACUUUAUUAAGGAUUUUGGACUUAUAUCCGUCCCUGAAGUGAGGUGUUGUCACAUAUAACCAGCAGAGACCAAUUUGUUGUGUUGCGAACCGAUGAGUCUUCCCGCUAGGGGCUGGGAAGAGAUAACAACGGGAGCGUCGAUUGCAUGGCUAUCAAGUACAUCAAAUUUGAAUUGGACACAAAAAUGUCGCGAUUCCCUCUCUCCGAUCAGAAACUUCGAAGGCAAAAUUUGUGCGAAAAACUGGAUAGGUUUAUUCCCAACCGAUCUGCAAUGGAUUUUGAUUUUGCACAUUACAUGCUCAACGGUGGGAUGGUAAGAAAGGAAAGCCCAACACCAUGCUCUCCAGCCAAAGAAGCUUACAGGAAGAGGAUCCUUGCUU